rnacentral:rRNA from 1 species
UUUUCUUAGUGGCGGACGGGUGAGUAACGCGUGGGUAACCUGCCCUAUACAGGGGGAUAACAACCAGAAAUGGUUGCUAAUACCGCAUAAGCGCACAGGACCGCAUGGUCCGGUGUGAAAAACUCCGGUGGUAUAGGAUGGACCCGCGUUGGAUUAGCCAGUUGGCAGGGUAACGGCCUACCAAAGCGACGAUCCAUAGCCGGCCUGAGAGGGUGAACGGCCACAUUGGGACUGAGACACGGCCCAG